CCCUGUGAUAAACAGAAUUUUAGAAUAUAAUAUAUGCUGUUGGGAAAAAACGAGACUAAAGCUUCAGCAUCAAAUCAAACUAAAAAGAUUUAUGAUCUAGUCAUGAUAAGAGCUGAACAAUCAAAACGCUAAAUCAGUGAGCUACAUACAGCAAAGAGGUUAUAUUCAGCAUUAUGGACAAGGCCAUCUUUCCAGAAUACUGAACCUGACAACUAUCUCUGAGAAGUAUCCACCACCAACACGGCCAAGAAAGUUGCAGACGCUGAUGAUUGAGACAAAGAUUCUUGGACUGGAAUACCCAAGAGACUCAGAUAUCUGACCCAUAUUAUCAAUGAUUGUAAUACCAGAUCCAGAACCCAAGAUUAGGGAUACAAACGUAAGCCAAAGCUCCGCCUUUCCUAAAGCUUGUAGCAAGGUAGCAGGCUCUCUUUGACUGGAUAAUUCACUUGUGGAGAGAAUGACAGCAGAAUGGGCACUAUUGAUGGAAGUAGCAAGAUAAUGAGCAAGAUUACAGAGCAAAUUAUGAUCAAAGGUUGGUUCAAGUACUCUUCAAAGAGCAAAAAACCCAUCAAAUAAGCAGCCAAGAUGAGGCAAACACCAUAGACAAA